AUACGGGGGGGCGAGCGUUGUCCGGAAUCAUUGGGCGUAAAGGGUGAGUAGGCGGGAUGGUAAGUCAGAGGUGAAAGUCCAGGGCUCAACUCUGGAUCUGCCUCUGAUACUGCUGUCCUAGAGUGCGGGAGAGGGAAGUGGAAUUCCCGGUGUAGCGGUGAAAUGCGUAGAUAUCGGGAAGAACACCAGUGGCGAAGGCGGCUUCCUGGCCCGCAACUGACGCUGAAUCACGAAAGCGUGGGGAGCAAACAGGAUUAGAAACCCUUGUAGUCC
rnacentral:rRNA from 1 species